rnacentral:rRNA from 1 species
GACGAACGCUGGCGGCGUGCUUAACACAUGCAAGUCGAACGGUAAGGCCCUUCGGGGUACACGAGUGGCGAACGGGUGAGUAACACGUGGGUGAUCUGCCCUGCACUUCGGGAUAAGCCUGGGAAACUGGGUCUAAUACCGGAUAGGACCCUGGGAUGCAUGUCCUGGGGUGGAAAGCUUUAGCGGUGUGGGAUGGGCCCGCGGCCUAUCAGCUUGUUGGUGGGGUGAUGGCCUACCAAGGCGACGACGGGUAGCCGGCCUGAGAGGGUAACCGGCAACACUGGGACUGAGGUACGGCCCAGACUCAGACGGGAGGCAGCAGUGGGGAAUAUUGCACAAGGGGCGCAAGCCGGAUGCAGCGACGCCGCGUGAGGGAUGACGGCCUUCGGGUUGUAAACCUCUUUCAGCACCGACGAAGCGCAAGUGACGGUAGGUGCAGAAGAAGGACCGGCCAACUACGUGCCAGCAGCCGCCGUAA